GAGCUAGGAUUUGAAUAACGUUUGAUGUGUUACACCCAAGACCUAUAACAAAUAUAUUUUAAUGAGAUCAUAUAUUUUCUGUUUUGAAAAACCUAAUAUAUAUUUGAAAAUAAAAGAAUUCAAUCUUUAUCCUUUGAUCAGAAUUUUCAUUAUGCAAUCACCUAAAAUAUAUAUUCAAUGGUUCCAAGAGAACUAAAUGCAUAUUAUUUUAAAGAUUUUAAAAUGUAGUUUUUGUUAAAAUCAUAUAUAGAUCAUGUUUUUAUUGAAGUCAUCACAAAUCCAAACAUGCACUAUAUCUUGUCACAAUGUUGGAAAACAUUGAAAUAUCAAAAUAUCCAUGAUUUAUAUGUGCAUAUAUAAUUAAAACCUUUGAAAGCUUUGUGAAGCUUUUUACAAUCUUCACGAGGUGUUGGUACCACUGGAGGUAAGGUUAAGGUUGCCAUUAUUUAUCUAAAUUUUUUAUUUUUUUUUUGCAAACAAAUUGUGCAUCAUUACACAAUAGACCUAACUAAGGCUUAUAGGAAAACCCAAUUGUUCAAUUUGCU
rnacentral:lncRNA from 1 species